rnacentral:snRNA from 1 species
GGAAGCGUGUGUCCCGCCGACACGUCUGAACAUCGAUCGCUGUCUAUCCGGCAGAUCUGUCCAGGUCCGUGUCACCUCUGGUCGACACGCCGUCCAUUGCAAGGCGCCGAUGCACCCGUCGAGGGCCCGCUCGGCCGCCGCCUUCAAUGCACACAUGGUUCCUCGUGAGCCGAUUGGGUUUAAACAAGAGCAAGGUAAUUCUGGAUUAUUAGUUAACGCUAAUGGGUAGGGUUACAUCCUCUCAAUUUCUAGACGCUUCCACACUGGCACCGCAUGUGGUGGUAUGCCAUUGU